ACCCGAGGAGGGAGGGAGGGAGGGAAUGAGAGAUGUCUGCAAAUCCCAAAAGCGAAAACCUCGUCCUUUGGAGAAUCGAAGAUGAAGCAGCUCUUCCAAAACCCUAGAAAUGGAAUCCUUUAUUUUUUGAAUGGAAACCCUGAAAUCCAGCGAAGGAAACCCCAAAUCCAACGGAUCCACCACAAACGGAAGUUUCCUGAUCCUUUGGCGUCAUUACUUGUUCGCUCUCUCCUCUGCCGGACGACGAGCAUCUGUCCUGUGCUCGGAUUCUAGGGUUUGGCUCUGUUGUUUUUAUUUCAUAGAGUUUGGCUGUAGAGGGAGGUAGAAAGAGAGAGAGAGAUGGGGAUUUCGGAAGGUCUGGAAGGUGGGCUCGGGAUCGAUUGCAGUGUAGGGGCGAUCGUCUGGGUGCGGCGGAGGAAUGGGUCGUGGUGGCCCGGUCGGAUCCUCGGACCCGACGAGCUUUCGGCUUCCCAUGUCAUGUCGCCGAGAUCCGGAACACCGGUCAAGCUCCUCGGAAGGGAAGACGCAAGCGUGGAUUGGUACAAUUUAGAGAAAUCAAAACGUGUGAAAGCAUUUCGAUGUGGGGAGUUUGAUGAUUCUAUUGAAAGGGCUGAGUCAUCCCAGGGCAUUCCGAUAAAGAAAAGAGAGAAAUAUGCACGUAGGGAAGAUGCCAUUCUUCAUGCUCUUGAGCUCGAGAGGCAGCAUUUUGAAAAGAAACAGCAGAAAUUAGGCAUUGCUUCUAACUAUACGAGCUAUAAAGUGCCUGCUGCUUUGAGAAAAGAGUUGGGCAGCGGAUCUCCUUCAGAAAAUUACUUUGGGAAUGAUAAGACAAGGGAUCAGUGCAAAUAUAUCAAUCUCAAAACACAACCACUUUCAAAGAGACUAGAUUCAUCUUGCGAGGGACAGAGCAUGAGCAAUCUUCAAUUUGCUCAAAAAAUUAGGCAUGCAAAACAAAAAAGCUGGGAGGAUGAUAAGUCUGAAGCCAUACCUCGAAUGAGAGGUUUGCAGGACUUUGGACUUAGAAUUGCUCCAUCAAAGAGAAAGCUUUCUGCAUCUAUCGCUUAUGGGAGUUCCCAAGGACUUGUUUCAGCUGAUGAUUGUGCCUAUGCUCUUCCUAGUGGCGGGCACAACAUCGGAACGACAAAACAUGCCAGUAUUGGUAAGACUUCUUCUGCUGCCAAAAUGAGAAAGUCACAGGGUGGUUUGACUGAGGAACCCCUUACUAAGAAACGUGAUAGACGCCGACCUCUUGUUCAAGUAUUGCAGAGUAGUGCAAAAUUACCAGACUUCCGGACAAUACAAUCUGAUGGUAUUACUGUGUCUAUCUCUGUGCAAGGAGAAAAGGAGCAGGCAGAUGCAAUAUACCAGUCAAAAAGGAGCAGAUGUGUCUAUCUGCCAGUUGAGUCCAAUGAUUGUUUGGAUCACACCGGAUUUCCUUCAGAUGAGAUGAAGGUGUCUCCUUCCCAAUUUGGAAUGGAUACUCAUCUUCCUCACCCUGGUUCUUUGGCAGAAGAAAAUACAAGCUCUGGAUUGAUUGAGGCGCGGGAAUCUGAUUCUGAGACAGAUUAUUCAGAUCCUGACAUGGAUGAAGAGGCAGCUGUACUUUCAGAGCCUAGAAUCCUGGGAAGAUCUGUUAGUCAUGGUGGCUCUGCAUUUCAACUCCCAGAGCAACCAGGAAAUAUGGACAAUGAGGAGCUGGAUGAGUCUGAACUUUCUAGUUAUGUCUCCCAGCUUCAUUCUCAUGAGCAGGCUGCCACUGUUUCGGCUGAUAUGGGAGGGUCCAAUUGGCAGUUGAAAGGGAAACGCAAUAUUCGCAAUUUAAUCAAGAGGCCCAUGGAGGUAAUUGAUGGCAGAGAUUCCUUCAACACAGCUGAUAAGUGCAAUGGAUCCAUGCAAGGAUCAUUUUAUGAUGGUGGGGGAGAUAUCAUAAAGAUGGCUAAAAUGGAUAGCCAAAUGGCCUUGAGGCAAGGCGUCUACCGCAGGCAUGAGGAGUUAAACUAUGCUUAUGACGAGGGUGAUCUGAUCGAGAAUGAUUUAGGACAAACCCAAAUGUUGGGAUUUGGCAAUAGAAGAUACCCGUCAAUGUUAAAAGCAGGGAGUAAGAUCUCUGAUUUGGACCAGGAUUCCCAUGAGAUGGCUCCAUCUGUCUGGGAAGCUGAUCGGAUAUCUCAAGCAGCACUAAGGGGUUAUCGGAAAGAGUCAGAUGACUGCUUCGACCCAAUAUAUGCUGGUCUUCUGGGUGACAGGAUGGGACCCAUGUUGAUAGAUGUUGAUUUGAAGGUCCAAGCAAGCUAUCAGGGAGAGCGUGUCCCUUUGGUUUCUCUGAUGAGCAGAUUGAAUGGGGAAGCUAUUGUCGGGCACCCGAUCCAAAUAGAAAUAUUGGAAGAUGGCUCCUCUGGUCUUAUUCUUUCUACAGAUGCAUUCUGUGAGGAAUCCCUCGAUAGUGAUGGAAAUAAAGCACUCCCCCCAGUUUGGCGGACCGCCAGAAGGACGACCAUGCAUCGGAUCCCACGUCCCCAUCCAUCGUCAGCAUUGGAGGGAGAGGAGGUUGACCCUCUCCCGUAUUCAGAUAUUGAAAGCAAACCUCCACUGAAGAAACCACUUCCUAGUCAUGUAUAUCAUAAAGAGAGGCUGGUUAAAAACUCCCAUGUUCGUCGGCUUCCAGCAGAAAGGAAGUCUCCUAAGAAGAUAAUGAAGAAAAUAAGCUUGUCCAGCCAGAAAACAAGAACACUGUCUUCGAUAGCCACAGAACAGAAAGUCACUGGCAAGAAGAGCAACCAAAAAAUAUCUGGUAACAAUGGUGACUUAGGCAGCUCGAUCAAAUCUGAGAAGGCAGCACCCCCAGUAACAUGCAUCUCUGUGAAGUUGGUACUCAGUAGGAUCCUGGAAGCAGUCAGCAGGCCACCGUCGAAGGCAGUGUGACUCACAGGAUCUUGAGUCUUGACUGCUGGUCCUGCAGAAAGGAAACCAUCAUAGAUGUUACAGAACAUGACUCUUUGGAUCAAUUAUCAUCUUCACUGUCUCUUGGCUCUGCGUCACAUGUCCAUUGUAAAAAAGCAACAUCUCAGUGCUGGAUUCUGAAGUCAGGCAUGACCAUUCCCCAUUUUUUGGGUUGGCGAAGACUGCAGAUGUUCCUUUGUUCACAUUUCCUCUUGCAGUGGAGUUCAGGAACGUUGGCAUGGUCCAAAGAUCGAGUUUCAUUUGGACCGAUCAGUCGGCUACAUCUUGUAAAGUACUUCCUCUCCAGCUUUAAAUCUGUUGGUUUGGAUCAGGUGAUCCCACCAAUACUAUCGACGACUUCCUGAAGAUGGUAAAACACCCAGGAAUGGGAGACCAUCAAUACUAACAAUGACUUCCCGAAGAUGGUAAAACACUCAGGAAUGGGACUUCUUAUCAUUCUUCUUUCAUAUUCCAUUGUACUAAUGUGAUGGAGAGUUGCAGGUGUGAAUGAAAUAUAGAAAAAAUAAAAAUAAAAAAAAUUAUUGUUUCUCUAUGACUAACAGCGACAAGCUUGGGAAGAGGAUUUAUGACAGUCCACUUAUUUCAA